rnacentral:ncRNA from 1 species
GCAGAGUAGGUUUAUAUGCGUUAAGUGCUUUCCGGAUAGAGAGUUGCCGGAAAGACGAAAAGAGUAAUCUUGCGGUAUAUAAGUCGCAUCUCGCUGC